rnacentral:rRNA from 1 species
AGGACUAACGCUGGCGGCGUGCCUAACACAUGCAAGUCGAACGAGGUAGCAAUACCUAGUGGCAGACGGGUGAGUAACGCGUGGUCAACCUACCUCUUAGUGGGGGAUAACUAGCCGAAAGGUUAGCUAAUACCGCAUACGAUCGUCGCGAGGCAUCUCGUGACGAUGAAAGGAGCAAUUCGCUAAGAGAGGGGACUGCGUCCCAUUAGUUAGUUGGUGGGGUAAUGGCCCACCAAGACUCCGAUGGGUAGCUGGCUUGAGAGAGCGACCAGCCACACUGGAACUGAGACACGGUCCAGACUCCUACGGGAGGCAGCAGUGAGGAAUUUUCCGCAAUGGGCGCAAGCCUGACGGAGCGACGCCGCGUGUGGGAAGAAGGCCUUCGGGUCGUAAACCACUGUCGAGGGGGACGAGUAUUGACGGUACCCCUGGAGGAAGCCCCGGCUAACUACGUGCCAGCAGCCGC